rnacentral:rRNA from 1 species
CCUACGGGAGGCAGCAGUCGAGAAUCAUUCACAAUGGGCGAAACCCUGAUGGUGCGACGCCGCGUGGGGGAAUGAAGGUCUUCGGAUUGUAAACCCCUGUCAUGUGGGAGCAAAUUAAAAAGAUAGUACCACAAGAGGAAGAGACGGCUAACUCUGUGCCAGCAGCCGCGGUAAUACAGAGGUCUCAAGCGUUGUUCGGAAUCACUGGGCGUAAAGCGUGCGUAGGCUGUUUCGUAAGUCGUGUGUGAAAGGUGCGGGCUCAACCCGCGGACGGCACAUGAUACUGCGAGACUAGAGUAAUGGAGGGGGAACCGGAAUUCUCGGUGUAGCAGUGAAAUGCGUAGAUAUCGAGAGGAACACUCGUGGCGAAGGCGGGUUCCUGGACAUUAACUGACGCUGAGGCACGAAGGCCAGGGGAGCGAAAGGGAUUAGAUACCCCUGUAGUC